rnacentral:rRNA from 1 species
AUUGAACGCUGGCGGCAGGCUUAACACAUGCAAGUCGAGCGGGGGAAGGUAGCUUGCUACCGGACCUAGCGGCGGACGGGUGAGUAAUGCUUAGGAAUCUGCCUAUUAGUGGGGGACAACAUCUCGAAAGGGAUGCUAAUACCGCAUACGUCCUACGGGAGAAAGCAGGGGAUCUUCGGACCUUGCGCUAAUAGAUGAGCCUAAGUCGGAUUAGCUAGUUGGUGGGGUAAAGGCCUACCAAGGCGACGAUCUGUAGCGGGUCUGAGAGGAUGAUCCGCCACACUGGGACUGAGACACGGCCCAGACUCCUACGGGAGGCAGCAGUGGGGAAUAUUGGACAAUGGGGGGAACCCUGAUCCAGCCAUGCCGCGUGUGUGAAGAAGGCCUUAUGGUUGUAAAGCACUUUAAGCGAGGAGGAGGCUACUUUAGUUAAUACCUAGAGAUAGUGGACGUUACUCGCAGAAUAAGCACCGGCUAACUCUGUGCCAGCAGCCGCGGUAAUACAGAGGGUGCGAGCGUUAAUCGGAUUUACUGGGCGUAAAGCGUGCGUAGGCGGCUUAUUAAGUCGGAUGUGAAAUCCCCGAGCUUAACUUGGGAAUUGCAUUCGAUACUGGUGAGCUAGAGUAUGGGAGAGGAUGGUAGAAUUCCAGGUGUAGCGGUGAAAUGCGUAGAGAUCUGGAGGAAUACCGAUGGCGAAGCAGCCAUCUGGCCUAAUACUGACGC